rnacentral:piRNA from 1 species
UGUGGAUCUACUGUUUUCUGGUGCUCUGC